UUGUUUUUGUUCUGUGUGCUUUGUCUCUGUUGUAUCUCUUAAUAUGGGAGAAAAUUGUGAAAUUCCAAUAAAAAUACUGUUACAAAAUAAAAAGUCACUCAUCAAAAUAGUCCAACAGCUGAUCAAUAAAAAGUCAGCGCCGUGUGUGAUGUAGGCGAGCAACGCCCCGGGGAGAGAGAGAGUGGUGAGGGCACCAGUACCAGACUGGGAGAGGGGGGGCACCUGUACCAGACUGGGAGAGACGGGGCAGAGGGGGGCACCUGUACCAGACUGGGGAGGGCACCUGUACCAGACUGGGAGAGACUGGGCAGAGGGGGGCACCUGUACCAGACUGGGGAGGGCACCUGUACCAGACUGGGGAGAGCACCUGUACCAGACUGGGGAGGGCACCUGUACCAGACUGGGGAGGGCACCUGUACCUAUCAAAUCCAUAUCAAUCCAAUUGCCUCAGUAUUUAUGUGUGGGAACACGUUCCAUUGGAGAACCAACAUCUAAUGAGUGAACAUGUUGUAGGAAUGUUUCAGAUCAACUGAAGUUUAAAAACAUGUAUUUCAUUUUAAGUUGAUGAGAACAAUGCUAGUUGGUAACAAUGCUAGGAGAUGCAUGGUAAUGCUGGGAGAUGAUAAUGUUAGGACAUGGUAAUGUUGGGAGAUAAUGCUAGGGCAUGGUAAUGUUGGGAGAUGAUAAUGCUAUGAGAUGAUAAUGCUAGGGCAUGGUAAUGCUAGGAGAUGAUAAUGCUAGGACAUGGUAAUGUUGGGAGAUAAUGCUAGGGCAUGGUAAUGUUGGGAGAUAAUGCUAGGGCAUGGUAAUGUUGGGAGAUGAUAAUGCUGCGAGAUGGUAAUGCUGAGAAAUGGUCAUGCUGGGAAAUGGUCAUGCUGAAACUGUGGUCGUCUGUAGGCCAUUUGGUAGAGCAUGGUGCUUGCAACACCAGGAUAGUGGGUUGGAUUCCCGGGAGCACCCAGACGUUAACUGUAACAGGACUGUUAAGUUGCUUUUACAUAUUUUCUGAUAAUUCUUGGUUAUAAUAAAUUAUAUAUUUUUUCUAUCAGAUUGCUCCUCCAGGGACACCGUACUUCUACGUAGAGCUGGACUCUGGAGAGAAACUCUUCUACCGCAUUCAGAAAAACUUCCCUCUGCAGUUUGGCAGGGAGGUGUUGGCCAGCGAGGCGUUGCUGAACAUCCCGGAGAGGGCCGACUGGAGAGAGUGUAAACAGACCCCGGAGGAGGAGGAGGGUCUGAGCAAACAACUACGAAACGACUUCCAACCAUACGACUUUGCACUGGAAGACUGAACACCGACACACACUGUACCGUACAGGAGGGGUGUAAUGGUACACGUUUUCAUACUGAACCAUUGGGUGCGGGGAUUUGUGGAUUAACACCAGUCCUAUAGUCUGUGCUGUGAUGUAGGCCUAUGUCUGCAGUAAAUCUGAGCUGAACAUUUCAGUCUAUUCCCUUGAAACAACUAGAGCCUAUGUGCACGUUGUAAUCCAAAUUCAAAUCUUAAUUGGCGCAUUUCAAAAACCCGUCCUUUUGUGAGGCGCAGCCGGGAACUAGUUCUGUACGAUGGUGAUUGGUCCAACCAUAACCGGAGGAUCCUCCAUCGUUCUCCAGUUUGGGAACAUUUUUUGUCAUGAAAGUAGAUUAUAAUGGUGAUGGACAGAGUUGUGGAUAAAGCGUUAACAGUACGUCUCCACGCAGAAGGAGAAUAGCUGCUGCCAGCACCUCCAACAUGUUGACACCCACAUCACCCCAGUAUAGUGUAGAAUGACGGAGCACCUCCAACAUGUUGACACCCACAUCACCCCAGUAUAGUGUAGCAUGACGGAGCACCUCCAACAUGUUGACACCCACAUCACCCCAGUAUAGUGUAGAGUGACGGAGCACCUCCAACAUGUUGACACCCACAUCACCCCAGUA